UUCUUUUGUUUUUAUUUAGUGGUUUUUGUUUGGGUUGUGAGCUUUCUGGAACGAUGGCUAGAAAUUUUUACACAUCUUGGAAGCUCUGUGGUCAGGAUUUGAUUGUGUGUGUGCUAAGAUGGGCAGUCAUUGAUUAUUUUGGAGGUAUUUUUUAUAAAACAAUUUACUAUCAUAUUUAUGUUUGGUAUUAUAUAUUAUUAGUUGUUUUGAUCCAAUGUAUGUGUUUAUAUAAGCAGGGAAAAUUACUAUAUCGUCCACUUAUCCUACUACGUUUGAGCUCAAUCCUUCUAUCCCAGAAGUUGAUGAUUUCUUAGAACAGUAAGUUUUUAAUGAUAUUGGUAGAUUAUUAAUUUCUUAUUUUGAUGAUCUGAUGUCUUUGUUGUUUUUCUUUUCGUGAAUGUAGGUAUCCUCAUAAGAAGAUAUGUUUGGG
rnacentral:lncRNA from 1 species